rnacentral:rRNA from 1 species
UGGGGAAUAUUGCACAAUGGAGGGAACUCUGAUGCAGCGAUGCCGCGUGAGGGAAGAAGUUUUCGGAUUGUAAACCUCUGUCUUAAGGGACGAAGAUGACGGUACCUUAGGAGGAAGCUCCGGCUAACUACGUGCC